AGUGUGUCGGCUUAUCUCUGAGUGUACAUUAUAUUGAUCCGUGUCGCAGAGCAGCGCCCUCACUCUGGUGCCCUUCGGUCACUUGCACUCUGUUUUUCGGGAGCAUGAUGAAUGAUGCUGAGUAGAUCAUCGGUCAGCAAUAAUUACUGCUCUCUAUACAUCAGUGAGCCAGAGCCUGCAGUCCGGGUCGCACAAGCUGUAACAAGACAGCCUGGAGCAAAUCCAUUAACACGCUGAUUGUUUUCACAGGGGGAAAGAAAUACACAUCUCUAAGUUCCAUCUAUGGAAAUGCAACAGCUUCCAGAGCUCGUCCCGAGGAACUCUGGUUAUCAACCAUUUUGUCAGGUCCUCCUGUGGUUGUGCUGGAGGAGGAAGUUCAAAGAUGGCAGAGGGGAUACCUGACGUCACGCUGACCCUAUCAGACCCUCGGAGAAUUGCCUUUGACAUACCAUUCAUCACCAUCUAUGACCAACUCACAGGACUCAAUCUGAUCGUAGGGAGAACUGUGAUCGAACAGAUGUCUCGACUUGACUGAACACCUCACUGUCCUUUUUUAUGCCUCUGUACAUGUGUCCAAUUUGUGUGAACAUGAUAUCUCAAGAAUGCCUUGAGGGAAUUCAUGUAUUUUAGGCAAAUUUCCAUUUGGACCCAAGAAAGAACCGAUUCGAUUUUGGUGGUCUAAGGUCAAAGGUCACAGUGGCCUCAAAAAAACCUUUAUUGAUUCGAGAACACAUUAUCUUAAGAAUGCCUCAAGAAAAUCCUUUCAAAUUUAGCACAAAGGUUUACUCACACUCACAGAUCAACUGAUUACAUGUGGGUGGUCAAAUCUUAAAUGUGAUAUUUCAAGUUUGUCUUUGGGGAAUUUCUUCAAAUUGCGAUCUGUUGUCACUUGGAGUCAAAAGAUGAUUUGAUAGGGUUUCAGUAGUCAAAGGUCAAAGGUUAUGUGGACUGAAACAGCACUGUAUGUAUGAGUCAUAAAACCCCAGGAUGCUAAUUUUUGUUUAUUCCAAUGAGUUUUUACUGCUAUCAAACUGCACUCAUUUACUUUAAGUAACAGCCGUGGUUGUUAUUUGCAGAAUGCGUUCUCCCUGCUUUCCAGACAUUGUAUCACCAUCUUUGCCAAAUCAAAUGGGCAGCUCCCUAUUUGAUUUGGCAGAGCUUAUUUUUUUUUCUUUCUUUAACCGCUGAUGCCCUCCCUAGCCGGCUGGGUUCAGGGGAGUGUCCUGUCUUCCUCAGAAUGAGUUACUGUUUAUUACUCUGUUUUCACUAAAGGACAAAAAGACAUUUAAAUGGUAGUAAUUUAUCCCUGUACAUGAAUCUCGGCUGUUCUCACUCGAUUAAAAAAGCAUUUUCUUUCUCA